GUCCUCUUGUUGUGGUAGUUUUUCUUCUUUUGAAUAUAGUCUCCUCCUUUACUUUGUUGAUUCCCUUUAUAUAUUUAAAUGUUUCUAUCAUAUCCCCCAAGCUAUACAUGUUAAGAUCCUUUAACCUUUCCUGGUAAGUUUUAUCCCGCAAUCCAUGAACCAGUUUAGUAGCCCUUCUCUGAACCCUCUCUAAAGUAUUAAUAUCCUUCUGAAGAU